UGAAUUCACUGAUGCUUGACUGUUCAGAUAUGCAGAGAGCAGUUUGUGGCACUUCAUGAACAGCCUGUCCUUGAGGAUCUGUGUCAGUAUCUCCUCCAGAUGUUCAGCAGGGAUGGUGGAUCAGAUUGUGAACCUGAAAUUGCCGAGACAUUCCUUAACUCGGUUUUGGCUGAGGUCCCAUCACGAGGUACAUUUGAUCUGCGGAGUGUGUUGAAGUCAGUCUACUUCUUCAGCUGAGAGCCUGGUGUUCCUCGUGCUGCUGUUGCUAGACAAGUAUAGCCUCUGCACCUCGACUGUGAUAUGACCAGGGGAAGUCGUGAAGCAUCUCCUGCAAUGUGCAGUGAAUGAGUAGUGAGAUCAUUGGUUUACUGGCUUGUGUUGUCAUGGAAACAAGGAAGAGUGGCUCUGUCUUGACACGUGACUUACAGGGGAUCUGUGUUCUGUUUCUGUGGCUAGACCGCCUCCGUGGUCUAGUGGUAGAGUGUCCGCCCGGAGAGUGGAAAGUCCGGGGUUCGAUUCCCGGCCGCAUCAUACCAAAAGACGUUAAAAGAUGGUACUUGUUGUUACCGCUCGGUAUUAAGGGGCUAAAACAGGACUGGUCGGCUCGGAGUCAGUAUACUGUGUCUGAGUGGGGUAUUCAUGUUAAACUGCAGCAUGGUUUCUCGGUGACCUAGCACUAUAAUUCAGCAUCAGUCCGGACUUGUACAAGCAGCCACACAAACACACACACAUACAUGCAGGUCGCUAUAUAAGUGCAAUAAUCUUGGACGCGACGUUUAACCCCAUUUCACCUCACCUUACCUGUUUCUGUGGCUACUCAUCAAUGUGGAUUGUAUUCUGUUCUGUCAAAAUUGGAGAAACACAGGACAGUCUUCUGUGAUACAAGUUCAAAACCCCCCAGUGUGAUUCAAAUAGCAUUGCAGUCAGAAUUCUGGAUCCAGUGGACAAAAUGGUCGACAUUUGGGACCCACCACCAUGAAUCUUCGUCUCAUGAAGGAUGCUAUCUUCCUCACAACAGGUUCAGAGUCUGCCCUUCAUGAGAGUUGCAUAAUUGGUGUGUCAGAAUCCUGGUUCGUCCUGAUGAUGUGUCUAGAUUCGUCAGUACCAAACCAAUGCUUGUGGGUUUCACCAAAAAGGCCAACAUCUGAGACCUGCAUCACUUCAGGUCUGAAAUACUAUUCGAAGCGGCAUUAAACCCAACUCACUCAUGCACUGAUGCAGUGUACAGCCUGAAGCUGUGACGCAUGAGAGGAAUACAGACCCCUGAAUGUUCUGCCGUGAUCCAAGUGUCUGCUCAAAUGUUGUUACCACACUGCCUGGUGUAGGACAUCUGUGUUAGUUGUUGUCAAGUGUUCUAAAUUGCGGAGUAGCUACCAAGGACCAAGGCUUGAGCGGACAAAUGUGUGACCUGGGUGAUAGUGUGCCAUCAUAUUCCAACAGUGUGACACCUUCUCAUGCUAUUAAUCACUGGUUUAUCUGGCUCACACUAUGACUGGAAUAUUGCAGACCGAGGAGUAAAACAAUAUUCACUCCCACACUCUCAAUUUGCAAAAGUAAUUAUGUGCCUUUUUGCAUUAUGUACAUGAUUGAAUGCAAAUUUGUUAGAGGUGUGUGAUCAAGUGUUGAAGUCGAAUUUUCUACAAAAAGGAUGAAUGUGACAUUUGUGUGCAAUAUCUGUAUUUUAAUUUGAGGAUUGUAGAAAAAAUGUUUUAUUAAUUGAAUAAGAAAGUGAAUGAUGA